CGAUCUGGAAACAUCGCAAGCCCUACCUCUCUUGCGACCAUAUGGCUCCGAAGACCAUGCCUGUUUGAAUCCUCGUUCACUUGUGUUGA
rnacentral:sRNA from 1 species